rnacentral:rRNA from 1 species
UACGUAGGUGGCAAGCGUUGUCCGGAUUUACUGGGCGUAAAGAGCGCGCAGGCGGUCGUUCAAGUCGCGUGUGAAAGCCCCCGGCUCAACUGGGGAGGGUCACUCGAUACUGAUCGACUUGAAGGCAGGAGAGGGAAGCGGAAUUCCCGGUGUAGUGGUGAAAUGCGUAGAUAUCGGGAGGAACACCAGUGGCGAAGGCGGCUUCCUGGCCUGUUCUUGACGCUGAGGCGG